rnacentral:rRNA from 1 species
GAUGAACGCUGGCGGCGUGCCUAAUACAUGCAAGUCGAACGAAACUUCUUUAUCACCGAGUGCUUGCACUCACCGAUAAAGAGUUGAGUGGCGAACGGGUGAGUAACACGUGGGCAACCUGCCCAAAAGAGGGGGAUAACACUUGGAAGCAGGUGCUAAUACCGCAUAACCAUAGUUACCGCAUGGUAACUAUGUAAAAGGUGGCUAUACUACCGCUUUUGGAUGGGCCCGCGGCGCAUUAGCUAGUUGGUAGGGUAAAGGCUUACCAAGGCAAUGAUGCGUAGCCGAAUUGAGAGGUUGAUCGGCCACAUUGGGACUGAGACACGGCCCAAACUCCUACGGGAGGCAGCAGUAGGGAAUCUUCCACAAUGGGCGAAAGCCUGAUGGAGCAACGCCGCGUGGGUGAAGAAGGUCUUCGGAUCGUAAAACCCUGUUGUUAGAGAAGAAAGUGCGUGAGAGUAACCGUUCACGUUUCGACGGUAUCUAACCAGAAAGCCACGGCUAACUACGUG